rnacentral:rRNA from 1 species
GACGAACGCUGGCGGCGUGCUUAACACAUGCCAGUCGAACGGAAAGGCCCUGCUUUUGUGGGGUGCUCGAGUGGCGAACGGGUGAGUAACACGUGAGUAACCUGCCCUUGACUUUGGGAUAACUUCAGGAAACUGGGGCUAAUACCGGAUAGGAGCUCCUGCUGCAUGGUGGGGGUUGGAAAGUUUCGGCGGUUGGGGAUGGACUCGCGGCUUAUCAGCUUGUUGGUGGGGUAGUGGCUUACCACGGCUUUGACGGGUAGCCGGCCUGAGAGGGUGACCGGCCACAUUGGGACUGAGAUACGGCCCAGACUCCUACAGGAGGCAGCAGUGGGGAAUAUUGCACAAUGGGCGGAAGCCUGAUGCAGCAACGCCGCGUGCGGGAUGACGGCCUUCGGGUUGUAAACCGCUUUCGCCUGUGACGAAGCGUGAGUGACGGUAAUGGGUAAAGAAGCACCGGCUAACUACGUG